rnacentral:rRNA from 1 species
UACGAAGGGGGCUAGCGUUGUUCGGAUUUACUGGGCGUAAAGCGCACGUAGGCGGAUCGUUAAGUCGGGGGUGAAAUCCUGGAGCUCAACUCCAGAACUGCCUUCGAUACUGGCGAUCUUGAGUCCGGAAGAGGUGAGUGGAACUCCUAGUGUAGAGGUGGAAUUCGUAGAUAUUAGGAAGAACACCAGUGGCGAAGGCGGCCCACUGGUCCGGUACUGACGCUGAGGUGCGAAAGCGUGGGGAGCAAACAGG